CUGGUUGCUGACCCCACACUCCUCAAGUCCUCUGUCUGCAGGAUACUAGGAUGCUGACCUUUCAUCAUUCCACUGACGUUAUGUGGCCUAAAAUCCUCAGCCUGAAGACUCAAAUUAUCGAAACUUCAGAGGAAAAAUUUAAACUUUCCUACACCAGAAUCAGCUUGAGAGAAGAACCUAGUUGCCACCCCAGCCAGACACUCCCUUGCACCAUAUUUGCUUGUCUAAUGAUGUACUUGCUUAGAAGUUCCAGGGGCUAAUCUUGAAAUAAACCAGGCAUAGAGAUCCAGUUGUGGAAGUCUCCCCCACCUAGAAAUUGCCUCAAGGUGGUUAAUCUUCAACCCAACCAUUGUCAAAAUGGCCCCAGUUCAUUCUACAGGUGGACAACAACUCAAGAUAGCCAUUGGAGCAAGAUAUGCCGACCUCCACCCUGCACCACUCCCACAUGCUUCCCAUACCAAGUUUCCCUUCCCAACCCCCUUCGCUUAGCCUGAAAAUUUGAGAUGGUUCUUUGAGACCUAAGUCCAGCCAUUCUUCUCAAUGGCUAGCCUUUGAAUAAAACUGCUUUCCUCCAUUCCA
rnacentral:lncRNA from 10 species